CCGCGAAUUCGCCCUUCGGGGUGCAGCAGGCGCGAAAACUUUACAAUGCCGGCAACGGCGAUAAGGGAACCUCGAGUGCCAGGUUACAAAUCUGGCUGUCGUGAUGCCUAAAAAGCAUUGCAUAGCAAGGGCCGGGCAAGACCGGUGCCAGCCGCCGCGGUAACACCGGCGGCUCGAGUGGUAACCGUUAUUAUUGGGUCUAAAGGGUCUGUAGCCGGCCGGGUAAGUCUCUUGGGAAAUCUGGCAGCUUAACUGUCAGGCUUUCAGGAGAUACUGCCUGGCUCGAGGCCGGGAGAGGUGAGAGGUACUUCAGGGGUAGGGGUGAAAUCUUGUAAUCCUUGAAGGACCACCAGUGGCGAAGGCGUCUCACCAGAACGGACCUGACGGCAAGGGACGAAAGCUAGGGGCACGAACCGGAUUAGAUACCCGGGUAGUCCUAGCCGUAAACGAUACUCGCUAGGUGUCGGCCACGGUGCGACCGUGGUCGGUGCCGUAGGGAAGCCGUGAAGCGAGCCACCUGGGAAGUACGGCCGCAAGGCUGAAACUUAAAGGAAUUGGCGGGGGAGCAC
rnacentral:rRNA from 1 species